GUUGAUCCUGCUGGAGAUCACUGCUAGAAGAAUCCGAUUUAGUCAUGCAAGUCGAUGGAAUUUAUUCCAUGGCGUAAGGCUCAGUAACACGUCAGUAAUUUACCCUAUAGUCUGGGAUAACCUUGGGAAACUGAGGGGAAUACCGGAUAGAAAAGAGAGGUUGAAAGGCACUUUUUUCGAAAGCUUCGGUGCUAUAGGAUAAGCUGGCGGCAGAUUAGCUAGUAGGUGGUGUAAUGGACCACCUAGGCCACGAUCUGUAAGGGGGAUGAGAGUCCGAGCCCUGAGAGGGACACUGAGAUAAGGGUCCCAGUUCUACGGAAUGCAGCAGACGCGAAACCUCUACAAUGCACGUAAGUGUGAUAGGGGGAUUCCUCGUGCUGGCGUUUUCGUCAGCUUUUUUAAAGUGUAAGUAGCUUUGAGAAUAAGGGGUGGGCAAGACCGGUGCCAGCCGCCGCGGUAAUCCCGGCGCCCCGAGUAGUGAUCACGUUUAUUGGGCUUAAAGCAUCCGUAGCCGGUUAUGUAAGUUUUCUGUGAAAUCCAAGGGCUUAACUCUUGGGCGGGCAGGAAAUACUGCAUAGCUUGAGACUGGGAGGAGUUAGGGGAAUGCCAUGGGGAGCGGUAAAAUGCAUUAAUCCAUGGUGGACCAUCAGCGGCGAAGGCGCCUAACUAGAACAGGUCUGACGGUGAGGGAUGAAAGCUAGGGGAGCAAACGGGAUUAGAUACCCCGGUAGUCCUAGCUGUAAACGCUGCUUGCUUGGUGUUGCGUAUCUUUCGCGGAUAUGCAGUGCCGUAGGGAAACUGUUUAGCAAGCCGCCUGGGAAGUACGGUCGCAAGGCUGAAACUUAAAGGAAUAGGCGGGGGGUCACCACAAGGGGUGCAGCCUGCGGUUUAAUUGGAUUCUACGCCCGGAACCUUACCAGCAGCGACAGCAGAAUGAAGGUCGACUUGAAUAGUUCACUCGACGCGCUGAGACGUGGUGCAUGGCCGCCGUCAGCUCGUGCCGUGAGGUGUUCGGUUAAGUCCGAGAACGAGCAAGACCUGCGUCUUUAGUUGCUACUACCUUUUUCAGAGGGUAGGCACACUGAAGAGACUGCAUGCGUAAGCAUGAGGAAGGUGCAGGCCACGGUAGGUCAGUAUGCCCGGAAUCUGCUGGGCUACACGCGGGCCGCAAUGGUUGACACAACGGGAUGCAACUCCGAGAGGAGAAGCUAACCCCUUAAAAUUAACCUUGUUUGAAUCGAGCGCUGCAAUUCGUGCUCGUGAAGGCGAAAUCCCUAGUAAACGUGCGUUAGCAUCGUGCGUUGAAUACGUCCCUGACCCUUGCACUCACUGCCUGUCAAUCCAUCCAAGUUGGGUCCGAAUGAGGCUUUACCACUGGUAGAGUCGAAUUUAGGCUCAGCGAGGCAGGAU
rnacentral:rRNA from 1 species